rnacentral:tRNA from 1 species
GGUUCCUUAGCUCAGUUGGAUAGAGCAACAGCCUUCUAAGCUGUCGGUCAUAGGUUCGAAUCCUAUAGGAAUCAC